AGCCUGGUGAUUUAGGAUCCCAUCACCCACCUCGAGUACUUGACAUUCUAUGUUGUGGGAAUAUUCCAAGUCCUUUUCUCUAGUUGUGUGAAAAUAUACAAUGCAUUGUUGUUACUAUAGUCACCCUAUCGUGCUGUCGAGAUUAGAACGUAUUCCUUCCAUCUAGCGGUGUCUGUACCCCCUCUCCUCACCCCCAACACGUCCCUCCCAGCACUAGCCACAUCCAGCAACGCGUGCUCUUCCCGCCUGCGUGAGCGCGUGCGGGACACCAGGUGGCGCUCUGAGGCCGCGCUCCGCUCCGCCCCCCGCAAGGGAACGGGAUUCCUCUCCCCAGAAGACAAGGGACCUCGGCGAGAAGCCCCUGCAGCCCGGGUCCGGGGUCCAGGCUGUUGCAGAGAUGCAAACAGUAAUGAGCAGCUGCUGGCGGACUCAAUGAACAGGCUCCAGGAGCAGAUGGGAGGGCCCGGGGCUGAGCUGGCCCUACCUUGCCCACACUGGCCAGCAGCUGGAGGCCUGAGACCUGGUCAUCGAGGCUCAGCCAGAACUCCGCGUUGUCAUCUGCAGCAAUGGCAAACUGGAUUUUCCCUGGGCAGCGGGGAGAGUUUCCCGAUGAGGGCAAGGAGGGCAUCAGCAUAAAAAGCUGCAGGCUUUUGUGAGUGUCUUAGCGAUUAAAUUCCCUUCGGGGCUUGAC